rnacentral:lncRNA from 1 species
GUUGGUGGCUGGUUUUAGUUGGGUAGGUUGGUUGGGAAAGGCAGUUGGAAAAGCAGUUGGCAGGCAGUUGGAAAUAGAGAGACAGUUAGUGCAGUGGGUUCUUGUGUGAGGGGAGGUAGAAGAGAUAGAGACAGGAUAAAACAAUACUAAGAAGGUAAAGAGUAACUACGUUUGGAAUGCAGUUAAAGUUUGUUUGUGUCUGAAAUAAACUACACUCUUCUUUGUUAAUUUGAGAACAUAACUGAGACUAAGUGAUUUACCAGGGAGGACCUGGUUGGUGGCAGCAGAUUAGUGGUGUACGGGUCAAUAGUCCGUGAGACGACCGGGAGCUCCAUAUGAACGCUACAGCCACUGUAUUAGAGUAUUAAAGCCUAGUGCCUCCUUCCCAAAGCUCAGGAAGCUUCUGCAC